rnacentral:tRNA from 1 species
CAAAUUGGAGCUUGGUUUAAGUAUUUCAUUUACAUUGAAAAGAUAAUAUUAAUUUAUUUAAUUUGA